CUCCCAGGUCUUUCUCUGCCUCUGUGGUGGAUAGUGGAGUGCUUCCCAUGUGGUAUUGGUGUGCUGGAUAUCCCUUCACUGGUAGCCUGGUAACAUACACUCCCAGGUCUUUCUCUGCCUCUGUGGUGGAUAGUGGAGUGUUUCCCAUGUGGUAUUGGUGUGCUGGAUAUCCCUUCACUGGUAGCCUGGUAACAUAAACUCCCAGGUCUUUCUCUGCCUCUGUGGUGGGUAGUGGAGUGUUUCCCAUGUGGUAUUGGUGUGCUGGAUAUCCCUUCACUGGUAGCCUGGUAACAUACACUCCCAGGUCUUUCUCUGCCUCUGUGGUGGAUAGUGGAGUGUUUCCCAUGUGGUAUUGGUGUGCUGGAUAUCCUCUCCCAAGGUGCAGGACUUUACAUUUUCCUUCACUGAAUUAUAGCAGACACUUUUUGGUCCAUUCCUGUAGCUUGGUGAGGUCUUCUGCUAGGAAAUCCAGUCAAGGGGUUACAUAUGAAGAAAGUGCACAUUUUCUGGUUAUGAUUGGAGACAUCUUUAGGUUACAGUAAAAUAUUUAUUAAAAAUCUACAAAGACUUUCCGUGAUCAGCUGUACAGUGACUAGCAGAUCACAGACAUGUUGCAAGUUCCUACAACUCUUUCAAUCUUAACCCUUUCCAUCCGUGACGCAGAUGUCGGCAUCACAGUAUGGACAGGGUUAAGAGGAAAUGGAAGAGGAUUAAACAUUUCCUCUUAAGAAGUUUAAAAGAGGAUUAAGAGGAAAUGGAAGAGGAUUAAGAGAUUUAGAAGAGGACUAACCCUUUCCAUACGGUGACGACUUCGGACGCCGGAGUGAAAGGGUUAAACCACAAAUGUUCCUACAACUCUGUCAUUCUUAAAUCACAGACAUGUUCCUACAACUCUGUCAUUCUUAAAUCACAGACAUGUUCCUACAACUCUGUCAUUCUUAAAUCACAGACAUGUUCCUACAACUCUGUCAUUCUUAAAUCACAGACAUGUUCCUACAACUCUGUCAUUCUUAAAUCACAGACAUGUUCCUACAACUGUCAUUCUUAAAUCACAGACAUGUUCCUACAACUCUGUCAUUCUUAAAUCACAGACAUGUUCCUACAACUGUCAUUCUUAAAUCACAGACAUGUUCCUACAACUCUGUCAUUCUUAAAUCACAGACAUGUUCCUACAACUGUCAUUCUUAAAUCACAGACAUGUUCCUACAACUGUCAUUCUUAAAUCACAGACAUGUUCCUACAACUCUGUCAUUCUUAAAUCACAGACAUGUUCCUGCAACUUUCAUUCUUAAAUCACAGACAUGUUCCUACAACUUUCAUUCUUAAAUCACAGACAUAUUCCUACAACUUUCAUUCAGGCGUGAACCCGGACUGUUCAGGUCUCUGCCUGAGAAUUCACAUGAGCAUUUUUAAAGCACUACAUCUAACACUACCAUAAUCUAACAAUACUAGUGAUGAAUACAAACUAUUACUGUACUGACAAAACCUUCAUUACUUACAAGAUUAUAGUAAUGUAUUACACACACACACACACACACACACAUUGUCAAUUAGUCAGUUAUUUAGUCAGUCUUGCAGUGAUUAUUCAGUAAGUCAGUUUGUCACACACACACACACACACACACACACACACACACACACACACACACACACACACACACUUAUUCUUGUAUCUCUCAUAAAAUACAAGCAAGCCUUAAUUGUCCUAGGAAACAGACAAUUACAGUCUCUUAAUCAACCUGGCAAUUCUAAUUAUAACAAAACCAACACUACCCAAACACAACCUGCCUUACUUCUGCCAUCUCUGUCUGGGCGUCAGCUUGUGUGGGCGUUCCCUGCACAUCCCGGCACAGCUCCCUCCUCCUGCGUCCUAAGGUAUGGUUGGCUUGUGUGGGCGUUCCCUGCACAUCCCGGCACAGCUCCCUCCUCCUGCGUCCUAAGGUAUGAUCAGCCCACAGGAAGAAGGCAGAGUUGUUGUGGAACCUCUCAAACAGAACCGUGGGCCUGGAAGGGAGGGAAGGUUAGAAGGACGCAGGAAGGCAAUGUCAUCCCUGUCAUUCUCUCUCUCUCUCUCUCUCUCUCUCUCUCUCUCUCUCUCUCUCUCUCUCUCUCCUUUUCUAUUUGCAGGAUCAAGGGAAGGGGAGUUGAGGAAGCCAGAGUUUUUUUUUUUUACAGCAAAGGAGAGUGUUCAAGGGCGUAAAAAAAAAAAGAACACAAUGUUUUGACCUACAUUGUGUCCGUCCUUGGCUAACAUCAGCUGUCGUUGUACGUGAAAAAAUACAGAAAGAGGGAAUUACAUGGAGGUAUAGCUGGCGUUCCCUGCACAUCCUGGCCACAGCUCCCUCCUCCUGCGUCCUAAGGUAUGGUCAGCUUGCGUGGGUGUUCCCUGCACAUCCUGGCCACAGCUCCCUCCUCCUGCGUCCUAAGGUAUGGUCAGCUUGUGUGGGCGUUCCCUGCACAUCCCUGCCCACAGCUCCCUCCUCCUGCAUCCUAAGGUCAGGUCAGCCCACAGGAAGGAGGGAGAGUCGUUGAGGAACCUCUCGAACAGAACCG